CAUAUAUGAACUCUUCCAGGAGGUGCCAAGUCCCAGCUCCCAAAACAACAUUACUCUCAAACAUCCAGAUAGCAGCAUGUGGAACAGAGAUAUUCACUUUCAGAAAUUCUCUAUUUUGAAAAAAGGAACAACUGAUGUUGUGAUAAAUUUAUGUAAUUUGACAAUUAAUCUACCUCACAUGCUUGUGAAUAUGUAUUUAUUUCCUACCACCAUAGUGGAAGAGAGACUAUCCCUAACUUUACACCUGGUAGUAUUUCCAGCAGUAAGCUGUGAGAUUCUUCUUGAAAUCACUUCUCAAAUAAAAAACAGACCCGGGAAACACACUACACUCACUCUGCUAAAGGAAUAGUGGUAACUGAGGAAACAGGGAUUCACAAGACACAGACUGUUCCCUGAAUAUUUUUUUUCUCCUCGGACAUCAGUUCAUCAGUCAACCAAGUCAUGUGAGAGUGGCGGCCAUGUAUUCCCUAUUAUUCUUGGGCAGUCUCCUGUAAGGAGGAAAAGGCCAGGAGGUCCUGUUAGAGGAUGCACUCUGAGAGGCUAAGCUCCUUAAGAUGUGAGAGCUCUAACUAGCAGGUGCAGACUUUUCAGGAGGUGGGGAAUGAGGCAGGCAUUCCAAACCUGGAGCUUCAUCACCUUUUGUUUCAUCUCAAGACAAUUCUGAUGAGCUGUUUUGGAACGUGUCUGGAAGGUGAAUGUUGAAGAAGAGUGCAGGCUUUGAUGUGAGUCAGAUGAGGUCUUUCAUGGGGAGCCAGGAAUUCAAUGCCCAGAAUCUGGGUUGGUGUCUUUGAGGUCAGGAGGUUGCCUCUUUGUAUCCAAGUCCAUUAUUACUAGGGAGGAGUCUGGAGAUUCUGAGUGGCUUCCAGACCCCCUCUCUGAUUCCCUUUUGGAGAUGAGGUCUGAAAAAGACAAAGUCAGUAUUUUCAGGAAAUUCUAAAAAGUCUGGUUGGAAACCUGGGAAGACCUCUUACCUAAUGCCUCAAUGCUCAAUUUGCAGUUCUAGCCACAUAGCUGCUUGGUAGGCAUAGAACUGGGUUUGCCUUUAUAUCAGCAAAACCUAUGUCAGGGUUGAAGAAGUAGUCAGGACAAAGUGUCUUGGUGGCAGGCUGGAGAACAUCUUAAAAGCAAAUUUCUAGCCUGCUGACUCUUGGCAAUGAGUGUUGGGUCCUGGCCAAAGUGCUUGAAUGCAGCGUGAGGCUAAUCCAUAAAUUCACCUUCUAAUGGAAAAAUGUUUGCAUUUUUUUCAGUUUGAUGCAAUCAGGGUGAAAUUACCAUGCUAUUGGUUUGUGUACUUUUUUAUUCUUUCACAUAAAAUCUAAGACAAAAUACAUUAAAUGCUUAUUGACAUAUGUAUUUAUUCUUCACCAGACUCAUAACAUCUGCCUAAUUUUAAACUUUCUUCCAUUUUGUAGGUUUCAACUUCUUUUAUUGUAAGAUAUUAAAUCUAAUACAGGCAUUAUGACUUUUACAUAUAAUUUUCUUUUAUUUCAUAUAUUUCCUAUUGGCAUUUUACAUUUAAAUUAUGGACAUUUUGUCAUAUAAAUAGCUUAAUUUCUAUUUUAAAAAUAAAAGUCUUUGGGUUUUUUUUGUCUUGUAAUUUUCGUAUUACAUAGUAAUGAGAUAAACAUUAAUGUUUUCAGGGUAUUUUAAAUUUUAGAUAAUUACUCAUUUUAUCCAUAUGAAGUUUGUUUUUACUGCAUGUGUGGGUUGGAGAACUCUUUUCACUUCUGCUUCAUCUUUACUCUGAACUCAUAGCUCUUGUAGUUGGAAGAUUGCAGUUUAUCAUUCCAAUCAAUGGGGUAAAUGUAAUGACAACAUUCUACAAAUGAGUUUGAAAGCAGGACAUGUCCUCAAAGCAUGCACAACAUGGGCCUACAUAUGUACAACAAUAGUAAUUUAUAAGUUACAGUUUGGAUGGAAAAUACAAGUACAGAAAUUUUGUUAAAGUAAAUUAAAAUGGAUAUCAGGUCUUAGCAACCUCUGAGCAGACAAAAUCAGUUAGAUCUCAUAAGUGAUCUCAACCUUGAUUGAUUUGCAAAUAUAAGCAAAACCUAAAUUAUUUCUUGUAGCUGCCUAUUUAAAAAACAGGAGUGAAACUCAGCCAAUCAGGGGUAGCCAACAACCUUAUAUAAAUAGGAAAUGUCCAACAAGGUAAACAAACAAAAAGCAAACAAAAAAAAAUUAGGUGCUGCCACCAAUCAAAUGAUUUCUUUGCUUCCACGUUUUUCCAAUAAAUAUUUGCUUUUUACACUGUCAAUGAAACACUAAAUAUCUUUCAGUCUGAUGUUCUAUAAUUUAUCAAUCGCUGUUACUCAAAUGAACACUUUACAAUUUCA